GAGGGUAUAGCUCUGUAAUAGAGUGCAUGCUUAGCAUGCAUGAUGUCCUGGGUUCAAUCCCCAGUACCUCCA
rnacentral:tRNA from 1 species